GAUGCCAAGGGAGGAGAAGAAGCUUCCCUCUUCUCAUGCCUCUCUCUCUCUUUCUCUCUUCUCUCAAUAUAAUUUAUUUCUUUUUUUUUAAUUUUUUAUGCAUCCACAAGUAGAGACCCUUUUUAUUUAUAGAUGAUUUCUAUAACCCAAUAAGUAUAGGACUCCUAACUCAAAUAUGCUUUGAAUCAGUCCAAUACUCAUGAAAGAAGGACUCCUACAUGAGAUAUAAUUACCAUCACAUAUGAUAACCAUAUUGCACCUAUUCCCACACCCACAUGGGAUGCCCACGACUGGCA
rnacentral:lncRNA from 1 species